rnacentral:rRNA from 1 species
GGAGAUGCCUGAGCUCAUCUUGACCUCAGAAGUUAAGC